AAGAUACUAGUAAAAAAGAAUAUUACACUGCCUUGUCAAGGCAAAAUUGUAGGUUAAAAUCCUGCGUAUCUUA
rnacentral:tRNA from 8 species